rnacentral:rRNA from 1 species
GAUAAACGCUGGCGGCGUGCCUAACACAUGCAAGUCGAACGUCCUACGCGCAAGCGUAGGGAGUGGCGGACGGGUGAGUAACACGUGGGCAAUCUACCUUUCGGUGAGGAAUACCGGCGAGAAAUCGCCGACAAGACCGCAUACGCUCGGGUAACCGAGCAAAGUCGUAAGACGCCGGAGGAGGAGCCUGCGCCCGAUUAGCUGGUUGGUGGAGUAAUGGUCUACCAAGGCGACGAUCGGUAGCUGGUCUGAGAGGAUGAUCAGCCACACUGGGAUU